GACGAACCGUGCGAACGUUGUUCGGAAUCACUGGGCUUAAAGGGCGCGUAGGCGGUCCGACAAGUCAGGGGUGAAAUCCUGCAGCUUAACUGUAGAAGUGCCUCUGAUACUGUCGGUCUUGAGGGAGGUAGGGGUGUGCGGAACUUCCAGUGGAGCGGUGAAAUGUGGUGAUAUUGGAAGGAACGCCGGUGGCGAAAGCGGCGCACUGGACCUCUUCUGACGCUGAGGCGCGAAAGCGUGGGGAGCAAACGGG
rnacentral:rRNA from 1 species